UGAGUUGCUGGGACGAUCGCCGCGUGGUUCCCGCAAGGGGCUACGGGGAGGAAAGUCCGGACUCCUCGGGUCAGGGUGGUUGCUAAUGACAACCGGUCGUGAGACUAGGGAAAGUGCCACAGAGAAUAGACCGCCAACCCCGCGCACCCGCCUCGGCGGGAACGCGGGCGGUAAGGGUGAAACGGUGCGGUAAGAGCGCACCGCGCCCCUGGUGACAGGGGUGGCAGGGUAAACCCCACUCGGAGAAAGACCAAAUAGGGAAGGCGCAUGGUGACCGACCCGCACCCAUGCCUUCCGGGUAGGUCGUUGGAGGCCGCGGGCGACUGCGGUCCUAGAGAAAUGAUCGUUGCCCUUCGGGGUACAGAAUCCGGCUUACAAGGCAACUCACGUC
rnacentral:RNase_P_RNA from 1 species